rnacentral:rRNA from 1 species
UCUGGUGUACCGGUUGUGACGCCAGUCGCAUCGCCGGGUAGCUAUGUUCGGAAGGGAUAACCGCUGAAAGCAUCUAAGCGGGAAGCCUACCUCAAGAUAAGAUUUCCCUAGGACUUUAUGUCCUCUAAAGAGCCGUUCGAGACUAGGACGUUGAUAGGUUGGAUGUGGAAGCAUAGUGAUAUGUGAAGCUGACCAAUACUAAUUGCUCGUGAGGCUUGACUAUACAACACCCAAGCAGUUG